GACGAACGCUGGCGGCGUGCUUAACACAUGCAAGUCGAACGGAAAGGCCCUGCUUUUGUGGGGUGCUCGAGUGGCGAACGGGUGAGUAACACGUGAGUAACCUGCCCUUGACUUUGGGAUAACUUCAGGAAACUGGGGCUAAUACCGGAUAGGAGCUCCUGCUGCAUGGUGGGGGUUGGAAAGUUUCGGCGGUUGGGGAUGGACUCGCGGCUUAUCAGCUUGUUGGUGGGGUAGUGGCUUACCAAGGCUUUGACGGGUAGCCGGCCUGAGAGGGUGACCGGCCACAUUGGGACUGAGAUACGGCCCAGACUCCUACGGGAGGCAGCAGUGGAGAAUAUUGCACAAUGGGCGGAGGCCUGAUGCAACAACGCCGCGUGCGGGAUGACGGCCUUCGGGUUGUAAACCGCUUUCGCCUGUGACGAAGCGUGAGUGACGGUAAUGGGUAAAGAAGCACCGGCUAACUACGUG
rnacentral:rRNA from 1 species